UACGAGGGGGGCGAGCGUUGUUCGGAAUUAUUGGGCGUAAGGGCGCGUAGGCUGAUAGGAAAGUCGAGAUGUGAAAUUUCGGAGCUCAACUUCGAAGCGGCAUUUGAAACUCCCUGUCUAGAGGAUAGGCGGAGAAAACGGAAUUCCACGUGUAGCGGUGAAAUGCGUAGAGAUGUGGAAGAACACCUGUGGCGAAAGCGGUUUCUAGCUUACACCUGACGCUGAGGCGCGAAAGCAAGGGGAGCAAAGCAGG
rnacentral:rRNA from 1 species